AGGGAUUCUCAAAACGGACUUCUGAACUCCGCAUAUCGACUCUUUGGAGAGAAACGCAGCACUUGAUUCAGAAGUAUCAAACUGAACCUAUCAAUUUCGUGAAUGAAAUAAAACGCUCGCGCUGUCAACUGGAAAAGGACGCGAUGUUUUCAACCGAAAACAAAACAGUCUUUCACCAGGCAAGGAUGCCUUGAGGCAUGGUACAUUGGCGAGAUCGAGCAGAGGCUAUCGCAAAGGACGAAUGGACACCGCACAACAAUCUUUGGGGCACAG